rnacentral:rRNA from 1 species
UACGUAGGUGGCAAGCGUUGUCCGGAUUUACUGGGCGUAAAGAGCGCGCAGGCGGUCGUUCAAGUCGAGUGUGAAAGCCCCCGGCUCAACUGGGGAGGGUCACUCGAUACUGAUCGACUCGAAGGCAGGAGAGGGUAGUGGAAUUCCCGGUGUAGUGGUGAAAUGCGUAGAUAUCGGGAGGAACACCAGUGGCGAAGGCGGCUUUCUGGUCUGUAACUGACGCUGAGGCGCGAAAGCGUGGGGGAGCAAACAGGA